rnacentral:lncRNA from 1 species
AUGAUUAGUGACGGAUAUAACCACUCAUCCCACGAUCACAUAACAGUGGAACAAGUGAGACCCACGUAUCUAACUGUUACAGACGGUUAUCAACUACUCGUCUAUAAAAGGAGAUAAAUGAACAGUAUUUGGGAAGGUCUCUUGAGAGCUGAAAUUCUAUCUUUUUAAAUAUUCAUCUGUUGUUCACCACUUCUCGCUGACUUA